rnacentral:rRNA from 1 species
CCCAGUCACCAGUUUUACCCUAGGGCGCUCCUCGCGGUUACGCACUUCAGGUACCCCCGGCUCCCAUGGCUUGACGGGCGGUGUGUACAAGGCCCGGGAACGUAUUCACCGCGCCGUGGCUGAUGCGCGAUUACUAGCGAAUCCAGCUUCGUGGAGUCGGGUUGCAGACUCCAGUCCGAACUGAGAGAGGUUUUGGGGAUUGGCAUCCACUCGCGUGGUAGCGGCCCUCUGUACCCCCCAUUGUAACACGUGUGUAGCCCCGGACGUAAGGGCCGUGCUGAUUUGACGUCAUCCCCACCUUCCUCACAUCUUACGAUGGCAGUCUUGUCAGAGUCCUCAGCGGAACCUGUUAGUAACUGACAACAAGGGUUGCGCUCGUUAUGGCACUUAAGCCGACACCUCACGGCACGAGCUGACGACAACCAUGCAGCACCUUCACAGAUGCCUUGCGGCUUACGGCUUUCACCGUAAUUCAUCUGCAAUUUAAGCCCGGGUAAGGUUCCUCGCGUAUCAUCGAAUUAAACCACAUGUUCCUCCGCUUGUGCGGGCCCCCGUCAAUUCCUUUGAGUUUCACCGUUGCCGGCGUACUCCCCAGGUGGAAUACUUAACGCUUUCGCUUGGCCGCUUGCAGUAUAUCGCAAACAGCGAGUAUUCAUCGUUUACCGUGUGGACUACCAGGGUAUCUAAUCCUGUUUGAUACCCACACUUUCGAGCCUCAAUGUCAGUUGCAGCUUAGCAGGCUGCCUUCGCAAUCGGAGUUCUUCGUGAUAUCUAAGCAUUUCACCGCUACACCACGAAUUCCGCCUGCCUCAACUGCACUCAAGAUAUCCAGUAUCAACUGCAAUUUUACGGUUGAGCCGCAAACUUUCACAACUGACUUAAACAUCCAUCUACGCUCCCUUUAAACCCAAUAAAUCCGGAUAACGCUCGGAUCCUCCGUAUUACCGCGGCUGCUGGCACGGAGUUAGCCGAUCCUUAUUCAUAAAGUACAUGCAAACGGGUAUCCAUACCCGACUUUAUUCCUUUAUAAAAGAAGUUUACAACCCAUAGGGCAGUCAUCCUUCACGCUACUUGGCUGGUUCAGGCUCUCGCCCAUUGACCAAUAUUCCUCACUGCUGCCUCCCGUAGGAGUUUGGACCGUGUCUCAGUUCCAAUGUGGGGGACCUUCCUCUCAGAACCCCUAUCCAUCGAAGACUAGGUGGGCCGUUACCCCGCCUACUAUCUAAUGGAACGCAUCCCCAUCGUCUACCGGAAUACCUUUAAUCAUGUGAACAUGCGGACUCAUGAUGCCAUCUUGUAUUAA